CCUACGGGAGGCAGCAGUGGGGAAUAUUGCACAAUGGGGGAAACCCUGAUGCAGCGACGCCGCGUGAGCGCAGAAGUAAUUCGUUAUGUAAAGCUCUAUCAGCAGGGAAGAAAAUGACGGUACCUGAGUAAGAAGCCCCGGAUAACUACGUGCCAGCAGCCGCGGUAAUACGUAGGGGGCAAGCGUUAUCCGGAUUUACUGGGUGGAAAGGGAGCGUAGACGGCAGUGCAAGUCUGGAGUGAAAGGCGGGGGCUCAACCCCCGGACUGCUCUGGAAACUGUACGGCUGGAGUGCAGGAGAGGUAAGUGGAAUUCCUAGUGUAGCGGUGAAAUGCGUAGAUAUUAGGAGGAACACCAGUGGCGAAGGCGGCUUACUGGACUGUAACUGACGUUGAGGCUCGAAAGCGUGGGGAGCAAACAGGAUUAGAUACCCCAGUAGUC
rnacentral:rRNA from 1 species